GACGAACCGUACAAACGUUGUUCGGAAUUACUGGGCGUAAAGCGCACGUAGGCGGACAUUUAAGUCAGGGGUGAAAUCCCAGAGCUCAACUCUGGAACUGCCUUUGAUACUGGGUGUCUUGAGUAUGGAAGAGGUGAGUGGAAUUCCGAGUGUAGAGGUGAAAUGCGUAGAUAUCUGGAGGAACACCGGUGGCGAAGGCGGCAUCCUGGACCGGCAUUGACGCUGAGGCGCGAAAGCCAGGGGAGCAAACGGG
rnacentral:rRNA from 1 species